rnacentral:tRNA from 1 species
AAGGUGUUAGCUCAAUUGGAAGAGCGUCUGACAGCAAAUCAGAGGGUUGCAGGUUCGAGUCCUUGCACACCUU